rnacentral:rRNA from 1 species
AUGGACAUGCCUCUUGCUGGGAUUGAAGCCAUGAUUGAAGAUACCGUAUAUAGCUUCUUGCUUGAGUGGGCGUGCAUGCAAUACCCAGAAAGGCAUAAGCUAUGGAGCUCUCAUUUACUUCCGCUGGUACGCUUCAGUCAUAUGACUUGGAGCAAACUCCACGAAAUCCUGACAUGCAGUGAUGAUGCUGUGCACAGUGAGCAAACAAAGAAGCUUAUUACUGAUUUACUCCUGCACAAAGCUUACCCAGCACAUGAGCAAGGCACUAUUGAGGCAGACACAACAACCCGUUGGCAAGUUCCACAGCGAGCUUACAGGCUUAAACCAAUCAAAGUGGUUGAAUUUUACUAG